ensembl:misc_RNA
CUUCACAACUGCCUCACAAGGACAUCCAUGGCAGUGAUGCUUCCUUCUGGCUUGCUGGUGAACCCACUGGGCAGGAAGCCUCAGUGUAAGUGACAGGUAGGUCUUCAUGUUGCUCUGGACCAAUGACAAGGCUUCUAGCUGCCUAGG